rnacentral:ncRNA from 1 species
AAUCGGGAGUGCAGAGGUCAUACAACACCUGCAAGGGAAAAGCCUCUCGCCGACUAUGGGCGGUGUUUAGCUCCCGAUUUUUUAAUU